GGGUGAUACUGGUCCAGCGAUUUCGUGUUUUAUUCCUCCUCCGCGACUGUUGUGUCCUCCUGAGCCGAGCACCGACGGCGGCGGAGUUCGGACGCUGCAGCAUCUCCUGCGCCGGAGCGGUCGCUUGGCUUCAUCCCCCUCAGUGACCGAAAGCACCUUUACGCAGAAGCUCACCAAUGUUGUUGUGAUCCUCCAAACCCAGACGAAGACAAAAACCAGGUCGAGCAGGAGUCCGGCCAACUCGAACCCAACAGAGGCUGUUCAUCAGAAACGGGCACGAAGCAGAAAGCAUGAGUGAGUCACUUUUUUCAUUUUGGUUUCAAACAAAAUGUCUUUUCAUUGGUUUUAUUCCAAUCCUGCAGCAGAUAUAAUCUUCAUGUGAUGAUAUAUGUAUAUUUCUCUGUUUUGAGAGUGAUGCUGGAUCCAGGCUAUGACCAGAGCUAAAUAUAUGUAAAGG
ensembl:lncRNA